UACGUAGGGUGCGAGCGUUAAUCGGAAUUACUGGGCGUAAAGCGUGCGCAGGCGGUUUCACAAGCUCGAUGUGAAAGCCCCGGGCUUAACCUGGGAAUGGCAUUGAGGACUGUGGAGCUCGAGUGCGGCAGAGGGAGGUGGAAUUCCACGUGUAGCAGUGAAAUGCGUAGAGAUGUGGAGGAACACCGAUGGCGAAGGCAGCCUCCUGGGCCGACACUGACGCUCAUGCGCGAAAGCGUGGGGAGCAAACAGG
rnacentral:rRNA from 1 species